rnacentral:tRNA from 1 species
UCCUUGUGAUUUAGAUGGUAAAGAAUCUGCCUCCAAAGCAGGAGUCCCAGGUUCGAUCCCUGCAUCAGGAG